AACGAACGCUGGCGGCAUGCCUAACACAUGCAAGUCGAACGAGACCUUCGGGUCUAGUGGCGCACGGGUGCGUAACGCGUGGGAACCUGCCCUUAGGUUCGGAAUAACUCCCCGAAAGGGGUGCUAAUACCGGAUAAUGUCUUCGGACCAAAGAUUUAUCGCCUUUGGAUGGGCCCGCGUUGGAUUAGCUAGUUGGUAGGGUAAAAGCCUACCAAGGCGACGAUCCAUAGCUGGUCUGAGAGGAUGAUCAGCCACACUGGGACUGAGACACGGCCCAGACCCCUACGGGGGGCAGCAGGGGGGAAAUUGGGACAAGGGGCGAAAGCCUGAUCCAGCAAGGCCGGGGGAGGGAUGAAGGCCUUAGGGUUUUAAAGCUCUUUUACCCGGGAUGAUAAUGACAGUACCGGGAGAAUAAGCCCCGGCUAACCCCGU
rnacentral:rRNA from 1 species